UACGGAGGGAGCUAGCGUUGUUCGGAAUUACUGGGCGUAAAGCGCACGUAGGCGGCUUUGUAAGUUAGAGGUGAAAGCCCGGGGCUCAACUCCGGAACUGCCUUUAAGACUGCAUCGCUUGAAUCCGGGAGAGGUGAGUGGAAUUCCGAGUGUAGAGGUGAAAUUCGGUAGAUAUUCGGAAGAACACCAGUGGCGAAGGCGACUCGCUGGACAAGUAUUGACGCUGAGGUGC
rnacentral:rRNA from 1 species